rnacentral:lncRNA from 1 species
AUAUGAGUUCCCAACUCAUUUCAUAAUUUUUGUUUUCUGUAAAAUGUGUUGGAUUAAGUCCUUCAUAAAAUAAAAGGACACAGAGUGUGAGGGGUGGUGGAAGAGUCGGGAGGGAGGCGCGCGGAUAAUUACGUGCACCUCCUCGAAGACUGCGCACCUUAUCCGACACGUGUCGGUGGGGUAAGUGUGCAAAGGACGCGUUCGGUGAAAGUACGUACCUAAUUCUCCGCGAGAGAGCCACGUAGGAUGGGAAGGCUUUAGGGUCGUGGCAAGAUAGGAUCGGCCGGCCGAGCAAUGGGACGAUCCAAGUGGGCCCAGAGUGGUGGACCCUUUCCUCCAACAUCGCGUGCCGGGAUCGGAUUGAACGGAUAGACUUGCGCGUCCGUUCCGCGUCCCCGCAUAGAGCUUCUAUGCGGGAAGCAUGCUCGCCUGGAUCGUCGAAGUCGUCGAGCAGGGAAGAGGCAUCCUCCCAUUCGCAGUCGACGGUGGGCUCACGAACCAGUAGAUGCCAUGUUCCCUGGCUCGGUAGUGCGCCAGGUAGCCGCCACACGCAUCAUCCUCAUCCUUACCCCGCACGGCACAACACGUCACCACCGAUGAGGCCUACCCACGUUAUCCAUAACAAGGCCUCCAUUUCCUCGAGGCAAAAUACAAAAAACACAACAUAAUAGGUUUGAGAUAUAAAAAAAAUGAUAGAGGAAUUAAGUGUAGAAUAAAUUGUAAUACUUCAACGAUUAGUCAGAUCCAGACACGAAUAGCGAUUAGUCUAUCAUUUUCAUACAUGACUUUGUAAAUCCUAAGGUAGUUAUGGCAAAUUCAGUGAAAAAAAAUGCAUCGGAUGACCGAUUACGAAGCUGACGCUUGUCCAUGUUCUUAAUCGUCUCUAGAGGUCACACAUUUGUUUGGCGAUUUAGGUGGUAUGUUUUACGAACUACAUAUCCUACCUAACACACCUACCUUUCUUAUGUGUCGUAUGAAAACGAUGAAUAUCUUCGAAAUUAAUGGAAGAGGUAGAGGUGUGCGUCGGAUCAAAUACCUUGUGCACCUUAUUAGUCUCUGUCGUUUUCGACGACAUCGAGGGUAAGAUUAAAGAGGAGGCAAAGUUACAUAGAUAUUAUAAAUUAUAGAAACCCUACAUGCUACGUUUCGUCGCCGGACAAGGGACACGAAUCCCCAAACUGGUGCACUCCUCGUCCACUGGGUGCGCGACACGUCUCCCAUUCAUAUCAAGAAUAAUGGCCGGCAGGAUUAGGUCAAAAUCAUGUGUCACUCGAUCACGGAGAAUGCAUGCACUUCUCAACUUCAACUACAAAUUAUGACUUUCAUACGAGGUCAUACAACAAUCCUUUUGAUUUAUCUCUUGAGAGAACACGCUGAGAAAAGAGACUCAAGAUAAGGGGGCAUGAAUGAUAGAUAAGAGACGAGAAAGUUGGAUGAGGGGGAGACGGUUUCGUCCACAUGUCGAAGUAAAAGAAGUCUCAGAGAUAAAUAUUGACCGCUUUCCAACCUCAUCCAAGAAAAGAUGGCCCUGCGAAUCUUCCACCAGCAACAAGUCAACAACCAUGUCGUAUGUCGUGAACAUAAAGACAAGUGCCGUUCUCUGUUCUUCCACCAUUAAAAAGUGCUUUUCACUUGUGCACGUAUCGACCACUGCUCCGUCGCUUUUUACGUUGUACCAUUCAUUAACUUGGGAUGAUUUUAUUAACGUGCACACCUCCUCCGAACAUUGACACCUAUCGACUUUUAGGGUAGUUCCUAUGUCCUCAUUUUUAGGAGGGGGCAUCGAUAUAGGUUUCCCAAUAUUCGAAUCGUAUCCAAGUAGUUUAAUUAGGACGAAUCUGCCACUUCCUAUAAAAAUUAUUGGGUCAAACCUUCACAUGUCAAAAUAUUGGGUCAAACCUUUCUUGCACUCGAUAUUUACUGAUCUGAUCAAGUACUGGUAAAGAAAUCAUAACUCCUAUAGCACUUGAAAUCUAUAAUUAUCAUUGGUACCAAGAUUAGGAGUUGUUACUGGACAAGUAUCAACAAUUUUGGUGGACCAUUUGGAUCUAUGAAAUCCAAGGACUACCCAACUUUACAAAGGACUACAGGCGUCAUGUACUUAAAUGUGAUUUAAGAUAAUUUUCCUGAUAAAACUUCUGCCUAAUCCUCCUCAGCUCCAUACCCCUCAUCAAGAGAUUAAAACAAAAUAAAAAAGGGCAAAGAGUGGCCAUCUCUGCAAAUCACAAACAAAUGUCAUGAAAACCACCCGAAAAUCAUGGAAAGCGUGCAAUGCCCACAUACAAGAUCCCCACACUCUACCCACCAGUUCCCUGGUCAUUGGCUAUCUAGCUUUUGUCAACAAAUGAUUCAACCUCCUUGCCACUUUUCAUUCUUGUUCAAAUCCAAAGAAGAUAAGACUGCCUACUUGUCCGGGAGAUUCAACUCCCAUGUGUUGGCAUUAAUGGUGGAGAAAAACGUGGACCUUUUCCACUGGCAGGGUGGGGCUCCACUUCCCCGCCCCCUCCCCCUUCCCCUCCUCCACACAUCUGAUCCAUGGAGGACUUGUACCGAAACCAGGAAAUAUCUGGAACGGAGCUCGCAUUCGUGGCUUAACAGCAGCAAGUGAAAGGCAAAAAGGGACGGGAGAACAGAAACAGGUUGAAGUGCCUAACUUUUGGGUGUCACUUGGGGCAUGGUCUUAACUUGUCAUGGAAGAUAAGAGCAAAGUGUAGAAGUCCAAAAGCCAGUAAUGUAUCGGAAGCAAAAUGUUCAAGGCAAGCACGAUGGGAACAUGGGCUUUAAGUCCAGACUAGAUGGAAGUUAAAUGUUGAAGCUAAACAUCCGAAAAUACUCCAGCUGAGUCGAUAAAUUGUGUUUUAAGACUUAAGUUCAUACUAGACCUUGGGAAUAAUUUGCUACACCAGAAACAGAUAUAAUUGAAAUUUCUCAUGAACUCCAAACCCAAAAACUUGAGAGCAAAUAAUUAGCAUCAAAUCAGCACAAAGAGGAAUUUCAAUACGUGGCAUGAAAUUGACAGAUAUCAGAAUUCCUAGAAGUCAAUGUAAACAGAAUCUAAGAAGUCAACGCCUAAUUGAUAUACUGAAGGAACUCACCUUCAUUGCACUGGUCGAGCAGUCUCCAGAGAGUCGCUCACCACAAACUUGUAACAGUAGCAGCUCUUCGUGGUUGCUGUCCGCGAAUGAGUGGAGACAAGUUAAAAAAUAAUGUAAUCAUAUCAAAAGAAAAAGUCAGGAGGAAUUCCAGUAAAUGAUGGAAAAAUACAGAUAACACAGAAAUGCUUGCAACUGCCAGAAGUUUCAGCAGGAGUACGACCCACUGUUUCAAAAACAAAUGGAAAAGAAAAUCUACUUGCUUCUGCAGAGAUCAAUUGUCAAUUUAUUUGAUAAAUGGCAUGACAUAUUAUACAUUAUUUGUCAAAUUUAUCGUAGAGUGAUGUACUAUUGUUGACUAAAAUGAUAUAAGUUGGUAGCUAACAGAACAUAGAUACACUUUGGACUGUAGAUUUUGCUUCUUCAGGACCCAGUACCGUGAGCCCUUACAAAUACAAUGUUCGAUACGGAUCUUCAAUAUCUUUCAAUGUUUGCCUGGACAGCAACCAAAUCUCCGGAGAACAUUUACACAGGACCACAUUGAAUCUUUCUAUUGUUUGCUUAGACAUUAGCCAAAUCUAUGUGAAGCAUUCACAUAGGACCACAUUCUCACUUGUCACUACCAUAUAUUGGUGAAGCUCCACAAACAACUUAUAGUUUGUAAUAAUAACAAAAAUUUAUCUGCCACACAAGCAAGCAAACAGAUACCCUCUUUUCUUCUGAUGAGAUAGAUGAGCUUAAAGACACUAAAGGUGUUGAUGAUUUAGCUUCAUGGUGAGACCUGAUAAAGUCUUGGGACUUAAACUAUGCAUGAAAUGUAUAUCCUAAAAUAUAAUUUCCAAAUUAACCACCAAUCUCCACUUCAUCUUAUACUGAAGUGCAUUUCCUCAUGACAUUCUUUAAUCUGAGCUUUUCUCUUAGCUAUGUCAACCAACAAAUUUCUGAUAUCAGCAGUACCUUUCUAAUAUCCACUUUAUGAGCCUUUUACUUGUCUUAAUUGCCGAAGAUAUUCUUGAUACAGUGAUCAGCUCAGACCCACUCCUACAACUAUGAAACUGAAAUAUAUAACUCAUUCACAACGCAAAUGAAUUCCAGCACACCAACAAAACGUGGGCAUUGAGUCCUUUUUAUGCCAGCCAUUAGGUGUCAGUUCAAGGAGAUGAGUUUAUCACUUUCUUAUUAUAACACACUGACCAAAAAAAUGUCUAUGCAAGGAUUGUCAUGAAAUCAAAGCUUAUAUUACUUAUCAAACCAUUUAUGAUGAUCUAAAUACUUUUGGCGGUUCCUCUGUCAUCUGUAAGUUUGUAAAUAUUCUCAGAAAUCCAUUAGGUGAAGCAGAAUACUCAGAAGGGUAACAACUUUUGAAAUAUUAUACUCUCCAAUACAACAAUUAUAGAUUGAUGUGGGCACCCAAAUCAUUGAUGUCCAAUGAACACUUUUAAUCUCAAGCAUAACUAAGAACAAGACAGUUUAAAAUGACAAGAAGCAAUUCUAGAAGUAAUAAAUGCUCAGAUUUAUAUCAAACAUUGAUCUUACCAUGUUCUAAUAAAAUAUAGACAAUUAGAUCAAUGAAGGCCAGAAAUCAUCUACCAAGUACGACCUUAAAGGCCCAAUACCUAAUAGUCAACCAACUUUAUGAACCCAAACAAAAGACAGGGCAGCAUCAUCUCCAGCAAAAAAUUUCAAAAAUGAAAUGCAGAUAGAAAGAUUUUGGAGGUCUCAUAUCUCAACUUAAAAAGGGUAAUAAUAAUGACAGUGUGCAUCCUGUUUCAUAGCCCGUAGUGUAUGGGCUUCAACUUAAGUUCUAAUAUGAGAACAAACCAAUCUGUCACUUGACAACAGUAAAUAUCGGCUUAAUCAUUAUGUCUAAUUAGUGUUCUUUUAUUUCUCCUUUCUUACUAAGAAAAGAAGUUUAAAAUAUGCUUGCAAAUAUCUCAGCCUUCUUUCUAAACUAUGGAGCAACAUACAAGAAUGAAGCAUCAAUCUGACUAAACUUCAGACAUAUUUCUGCUUUGCAUCAGCAGCUUUUUGUUCCAUUGGAUAAAUUUUGGAGUGAAAGAAAUAUUGUAAUCUAAGGAAAUUCAAGGAGACACACAGGGUUCAACGAUGCUACAAGUGAUCCACGCCUCGUGAUGCAAACAAGGCACGAGAACGUGGUCGGAAAUGAGAUAGAAGCACUGGUUGAAAAGUUAAGUAUCAUGUGGCAGAAUGAAACACCAACCCGAAGUCCUUUCGUGGAGGCGAACGCUGCAACACCGUAGGAUGAACCCUCUUCAGUCCCUCACAUCGCAACGCCAUUGCCUAUGUCAUCCAACCCCCUCACUCUCGAUGUCCGUCUGAUGAACCCCGGUCGGGAUUAGGGUUUCAACAGAUUGGUGGACGGAUACUUAACGAUCUUGUUGUUCUCCACCUACUCCUUAAUCUUCUUCAGCGUCUUCUUCAUCCAGAUCGGAGAGCUCCAAGCCCUCGCGAUCGUGUACAUGGCGCAACAGAGAGAUUUGAAUUCGAGAGGAGUAGAACGGCGAGCCGGGAGUUGGGCUAGUUUGGAGCUUCGUCAUAACAACUAUCUUGACGGUUAAGCUCACUUGUCGGUGCGUAGAACAUCAGAGGUCUUAUUUAAUGAGUUACUUUAUGUCUCGACCGGUGGUUGCUUUGUCUGGCUUACGAUUUCAGGAUACAGUUUGGGCCAUACUUCACCCAAU